rnacentral:rRNA from 1 species
CCUACGGGUGGCAGCAGUGGGGGAUAUUGCACAAUGGGGGGAACCCUGAUGCAGCGACGCCGCGUGGGUGAAGAAGCGCCUCGGCGCGUAAAGCCCUGUCAGCAGGGAAGAAAAUGACGGUACGUGAAGAAGAAGCCCCGGCUAACUACGUGCCAGCAGCCGCGGUAAGACGUAGGGGGCAAGCGUUAUCCGGAUUUACUGGGUGUAAAGGGGGCGCAGACGGGGUUGCAAGCCAGGAGGGAAAGUCCGGGGCCCAAACCCGGGACUGCUCUUGGAACUGCGGGGCUGGAGUGCAGGAGGGGCAGGCGGAAUUCCUGGUGUAGCGGUGAAAUGCGUAGAUAUCAGGAGGAACACCGGUGGCGAAGGCGGCCUGCUGGACUGCAACUGACGUUGAGGCCCGAAAGCGUGGGGAGCGAACAGGAUUAGAUACCCUUGUAGUC